rnacentral:lncRNA from 1 species
GGGGAAGGGGUGUAAACCCUAACCCACAUGAAAUCAUCAAAUUGGAAAAGGAUUUGAGGGUUAAUUGGAUGCAUGAACCAAGAUUUAUGAUCACUCAAGCGUUCUUGACACCAAGAUAGGAAUCCCAAAUUGAGAUGGACCCAAGUAUGGAAAGCUAACGGGUCAAGCGGAGGUGAGGAAGCAAGCAUGAACACUAACGCUUAAGGUAAGUGAUUCCGUAAUCACUUCUUAGUUGUUUAUGUAAUGUUAUAUGCAAUUUAAUUAUAUGUGAUAAUUGAGGUCGAAUAGGAAUGAAUUGUAUGAUGUCAAUGGAGUAUUAAACGGAUUUUAGUUUUGAUCCGAGCAAGGUAGGUGUGAUUAAGAAAUAGUAGCUAAGUAGUGGAAUUGGUUACUUAUGUAAGGAAUUCCUUUGUUAUUAAGGAUAGAGCAUAGUUGACUAAAAUGCCCUUGAUAGGUAUAUUGGGCAAACGACCUUAGAAGUCGUUUGGAAACGAGCUAUUCGAUUAGAGUAAUGUCUUGGACAAGUAUGAAAGCGAAGUAUAGGGUUUGGUAUGUCAUAGUCCACUUAAUGCGCAAAUACCCAUAACGGGUCAAAAAUAAGCCUUUGAGCGAAAAUGGGUUAAGAGGAUGCAAGACGUCCGAGAAUUUAAUCUUUUAUGAUAGGUGCCAAUGAAAUUAUUAAAGUUCAUAUGAGAUUGAGGUCAAAUAAACAGAUUAUGUUGAUAAAUGCACGAACGGGUCAAUUAGUUAGAAAAUGAUAAUAUGUCGAAUGCACGUAAGUUAAGAAUUUCCUUAAUCCGGAGGUAGGAUUUCAAGUUAAUAUGAUAGAAUGUGAAUUUACAAGCAUGUAGGAAGAAACGGGAGGUUAAACGGGUAAACGGUUUAAAAGUUAUGCGAGUUUUAGUGGGUGUUUUGUAUCUGCACCCGGAGUAUGGA